CUGGCAGCAGCUAGGUCUCGGGGGUGCUGGGAGCCACGCAAGGUGUGGGAGUCCAACUCGGGGUAGAGGCCUCACCGACCCCUCCUGGCUCCGCCCCCCAGAGGUGUUUUGGUGACGAGUACUACGGCACUGCGGAGGAGGAGAAGCCGCAGUUUGAGGAGGAAGAAGGGCUUGAAGAUGACUGGAACUGGGACACCUGGGCUGGGCCUGAGCAGGAUGGAGCUUGGAGCCGGCAGGAGCCACACUGCGAGGACCCCGACUUCAAUAUGGACGCUGACUACGACCCCAGCCAGCCC